CACCUAAAGUGUUUUUAAUUUCAAGUUUUUUUAAUCUAUUAUUUUUUUAAACUCAUUUAUUGAUUAAAAUUUUGUUGUUUUUAUUCGGACUUUCCUUUUCUUUUUCUGUACAUCUCUUUGUUUUUGGACCAUCAUUGUUUUAGAAGUGCUUCAGAAAUUAAGUUUGUCUUCUUGACACAGACUGAGGAGGGGUCAGUUUCAGUUUUCCAGUAAAUCAUGUGAGUGAUUCCAAACAGGGAGACUGAAAGUGAAAGUAUGGAGACUCCAUAAAAACCCACCAGCCUGCUGAUCUGCAGAGUCACUCUGAGCAGAGAUACAGCAGCAGGUAAGAGCCACUUUAACCUGUUAGGACCUUUUUUUACAGUCUCUCUGUCAUUUACUGAUGCUCACUGAAACACCAACUCUGUCCUCCAGCUCCAUUUUAAUCUGUAGAAACUGGAUUGGAGCAUUUUAUUGAUUUAAGAGUUGCAUGCUGUCUCAUCAUGUUUGGAGGGUUUUACUUCAGAAUAAGGAGAUUAUUGUAAUAAUGAUCACUUUGUUCCUCAUAGGUUGAUGUAAAGGAGAAAUAUUGAACUCUUUAUAUCAGCUGAUUACCUCUCAGAUUUAUCAUUGAUGGUUCAGCCUUAAACAGAUCAAUAAUGUCUGAAUAUCUGCAGACCGUGAGCUUCUACAAAGGUUUUAUUUUAGAGACUGGUCAAACAGCUGAGGUCAUGUUUUAAUAUGUGGACAUGUUCUCUGCAGACAUGGGCUCAUCAGAAUCCACACCUCCUCCACCUCCUCCACCUUCCCGUAAGAGGCUGAAUUCUUACUGACAUGAUCUCAGAUCUGUGUGUAUAAUCAGUGUGUGUAUAUAUCAGUGUGUAUAUGUGUAUGUGUGUGUGUGUAAAGUGCAUGGUUACUUUAAUCAGUAACCAUGUCUUUCAGUUUUUCUCACUGUUGUUCAUUUUUGUCCUUCAGCCUGUCUGAGGCAGCCGUGGAGACAACUGACAGAGUGAGUGAGCAUUCUGAGGACACAGUCCUGCUUAUUCACUCAUUCACACAUUCACACAUGUACAUUUAUUUAUAUUAACUCAUUUACACAUUAAACUAUUCACAUAUUUAUUCAUUCACACAGAGGCUAAGUAAGAUUGGUCUGUGUUUGUUUCCACACAGAGCUUAUCACACCUUUUUUCUUGUUUUUAUCCUUUUAUUUUAUUAGUUUUAUUAUUUAUUUGAUCUUGUUUUACAUGAUAUAAAGUUAUUUUAUCGUUUUCCAAUCUCAUUUUAUUUAAUAUAAUCUUGUUUUAUCUUGUCUUUUUUGUUUCUUGUUCUAUUUUUUAAUUUUCUUGUUUGACAUUUUUAAAAAUAAUUUUAUCUUUUAUUGAAUCAUUUCAUUUUUAUUUUGUCUUAUCUUUUUAUUUUCUUGUUUAAUUCUGUUUUUCAUUUUUUAAAGAAUUUUAUUAGAUUUUAUUUCACAUUUUUAUUUGAUCUUGAUUUAUCUUUUAAAAUUUUACCUUUUUAAAAAUAAUUUUCUUUUUUUAUCAUAUAUCAUUUUAAUUUUGUCUUGUCUUUUUACCUGUUUUUAAUUUGUGUUGUUUUUUUAUUUCCUUAUUUUAUUUAAUCUGAUUUCACACUUUCAUUGAAUCUUAUUUUAUCUUUUUAAAUUUUACCUUUUUUUAGAAAUAAUUCUAUCUUUUUAUUGAUCUUUUUAAAAAAAAAAAUUUUUGUCUAUUUUAUCUGGUUUUAUCUUGUAUUUUAUUGUAGUUUGUUAUGGUCAGGGCUCUUUUGUUUAAUACUACACAGAUGAGAUAAAACAAUCUGAUGUCUCUGCUUCGUCAGGAGCUCCGGGGACAUCAUUAGGUACCUGGGAGCCUACCACCCUCGAAAGAAACAAGUCAGUCACUUGAGGGUUCUGCUGCACGGCCCGGUCGGUGCAGGAAAGUCCAGUUUCAUCAACUCAGUGGACAGCGCUCUCAGAGGUCGUGUGACCGGUCGAGCUGCUACUGAUGCAACUUCAGGGACAAGCUUCACCCUGGAGGUAGGACGGUCUAGAGCCUGAGAGAACGUCUGAUUGUGGUCCUUCAGAAAUUUCUGAGACAGUUAUAUGUGACUCAACAAAUC
rnacentral:lncRNA from 1 species